rnacentral:lncRNA from 1 species
CGGGCAUGGGGACAGCUGCCAGGGGACGAGGUGGGGGCAGGCCAAGGAUGGAUGACCACUCUGGCCCCACUUGCCCAACUCAGCAGAAACCAGGGUCAGCAGUAAUGGGCUGGCGGCCCCCAGCUGCAACCAGCUUCAUUUUCUGCCACAAUUAAAUGAUCGCCUGCAUCUGCUCACGCUCACUCAUUCAAUUACCUUCGUGGCCCUGAAGGACUCAGAGAGAAACAGCCAUAAAUAACACGCGUCAGCCGCCCCCCCGGGCUGUCAUCGCUGCCCAUCGCUCCCACGGGCCUGGCCCGGCCCUUCCUGCAGGCCCCUGACCAUCGUCUUGUGCAUCCCAGCUCCCCGAGGAAAUCCUCCCAGCGCCCACACCCGGCCGUCUGAGAGUCAGUCCCUGGCCUGAGAGUCAGCAGAUCUGGGUCCCCACCCAGUUCUGCCCACCUAGCUGUGGGCCUCUGGUUCCUCAUCUGUGAAAUGACAGAAAAAGUCUGCGUGAGCUGCAAAGUGCUGCCCUUGCAAGAGGCUGUGGUCCUGGCUGCACAGUCAAAAUGUGGGCACCCAGGAAGGGAGGUGAGGCAACUGAGGCUCAGCGAGGUUAAGAUACAUGUCCAAGUUCACAUCUGCAGGAGAGGGCAGGGCUGGGACUCCAGUGCGGGCCUGUCACACCCACAGCCCUGCUCUUCGCCAGCCUCCACCCCCAGCAGCACGAACUGGCAGUCACAGGACUUGGGUUCAAGUCCGGCUCCUGCACUGGCUGCUGUGUGACUCUGGGCAGGUCCUUCCCUCUCUUGGCAGCCUCGCUUUGUCUCUCCUCCCCUCGAAAAUGAAAAGACUGUGACGGUGGCCUCCGAGGGCCUGUUGUGAGGAUGGGAAUGUCCGUCCCUGCUGAAUGACGGUGGCCAUCGUGGCCCCCCCCCGACACUGCACCUGGCCGGCUCCUGCCUGCUUCCAGAACAGGCUGAUGACAUCCCUGCAGCUCCCUGGUCAAGGGAGUCCAGGUGACUCACAGAGGGUUUACCGCCUGCCCCCUCUGUGCACGGUGUCCUCAGAUUCCGGGUUCCCUGGGGUGGAGGGAGGCCAGGAGGGGCAAGUGUCUCCCCUGGCCUUGGGCCCCUCCUCCCCCAGGGGUCUUAGCUCACCAGCCAUUUGGGACCCCACAGCAGCCAG